rnacentral:rRNA from 1 species
UGGGGAAUAUUGGACAAUGGGCGCAAGCCUGAUCCAGCCAUGCCGCGUGAGUGAUGAAGGCCCUAGGGUUGUAAAGCUCUUUCACCGGUGAAGAUAAUGACGGUAACCGGAGAAGAAGCCCCGGCUAACUUCGUGCCAGCAGCCGCGGUAAUACGAAGGGGGCUAGCGUUGUUCGGAUUUACUGGGCGUAAAGCGCACGUAGGCGGACUAUUAAGUCAGGGGUGAAAUCCCGGGGCUCGACCCCGGAACUGCCUUUGAUACUGGUAGUCUUGAGUUCGAGAGAGGUGAGUGGAAUUCCGCGUAUAGAGGUGAAAUUCGUAGAUAUUCGGAGGAACACCAGUGGCGAAGGCGGCUCACUGGCUCGAUACUGACGCUGAGGUGCGAAAGCGUGGGGAGCAAACAGG